rnacentral:rRNA from 1 species
UACGGGAGGAGCGAGCAUUAUUCGGAAUGAUUAGGCGUAAAGGGUUUGUAGGUGGUUUUUUAAGUUGAAAAAAACAAAUUAAAGCUCAACUUUAUAAAUUUUUUCAAAACUGAAAAACUUGAGUAUAAAAUAGAGGAUAAUGGAAUUUCUAUUGGAGGGAUAAAAUAUGUUGAUAAUAGAAGGAAGAUCAAAAGCGAAGGCAAUUAAUCUGGGUAUA